UUAACUUUUUGAUCAACAAAG
rnacentral:piRNA from 1 species